UAUAUAAGCCCCUCUGUUAACUUUUGUUCAAGCCUGUCUAGAUCUUUUAUCAGUCUAGAAAGAUGUUGGAGAAAAGACAUCAUCCUCUUCUAUAAUCUCCAUCUGUAAUUGGACUAACAACUGGACCAGUGAAUGCAGGUCACACCAUGGUCUCAAGAGGGAAAAUGAGUGCUCUAUGGAUUGAACAGAAAAGAUUAAUCAAAACUCCAACCAUCUGUAUGAGGGUCUGGAUGGAUAAAGGAUGCCCACUGGAGCUGGAAAUGAUGGAUCAGGUGGAUCCACACUUGAACCAUCUGUAUGAUGAUCUGCACCCACUGGAUCUGUAAAUGGUGGUGCAGGUUUCUGAAUUGAUGUCAGAUGCAAAGCAGAAGCUUAUUUUCUGCCAGUUUGGCUUCAUUGUGGAAAAUGCUUGAAACUAAAAUGCAGAAUUCUGGCCUGGUGUUUGGUCCCCCCUUUCUCUGGCUUGUGUCUCCAUCAUCAUUACACUCUUGUCAGUGUAAUAGUAUCGUCGUCUGCGUACCAGGACUUUGUUACUCAGCUGUCCCUUCUCCUUCAAGCUACAUUUUUGUCAAGCUGCAACAAGUUGGAAUACAUAAUUAUUAACGUUUAAUGAUUUUGAUGUAUGAAAUAUGUAACAAAAGCAAAAAAUGUAUAGACAUUCUAUUAAGAAAUUACCUUUUUGUUGUUUGUUUACUGACCUUUCAACCAUAUUGCAUUUAUAAUUGAUCAUCAUACCUUUGGUCUACUGUUAACAGGCUACUGUAGAAAACAAAGUCAAACAAAAAAGAGAGAAAAAAUUAUAAAUGCUGAAUGUGUCUCAUCUUAAAUACAUUGUUGUUGUUUUUGUUUCAUUGAAUUUGGAUGUUUUGAUGAUUUAAGGAAAAUUUACGUAGCAUAUAUAUUGAUGUUUUAAAUCAGAGUUUGUUAAUGACACUUAAUCAUUAACAAACAUUUAAAAAGCUUUAUUACAAUACUAAUUGAUAAUAUUAAUGUAAUAAUCUUGUUUUGUAACACCCUAAAUCACUGAGCGCACAAACGCUACCCCUGUUACAAGCAUGAGUGGUUGACUUCAUGCAGACAUUGAAGUACCGCGAGAGUGAUUCAAAAGCCCACGAAACAGUGUAAUCACGCGGUACUGUGAUGUCAUACUGGUUAACGCUAAGCCACGUGAAGCCGGACACAAGGGCUACACUAAUCUUUGGGCUGGAGUAGCCUGUGGUUUUUAAGGCUUCGUGUCUCAUCGCGUUAAACGAUCGCAGAACGAUUUAUUUCUCUUUUUCACCUCGAUCUUUGGCCUCGUGUGAUUUACCAAAACCAACAUGUGAAGUUACAACGCUGACAAAGGAGUUUCAUCAGUAGAGUGUGUCCUGGUAAACGUGUGCUCGGAAACAUGCAGAUUACAGUAUUUACAGAGCCGACCUUGAGGCACCCACUGAUGGAUAAUCUGUUUACCUAAAAACAGCCCACCACAAUCCAUGUUUACCAGCUGUGAAAGUGCGCAGGCCAAAAAUCUUCCUUCACCUGUGGGCCUCUACCCACAUGUAGAUAAGCACUUCAGGAGAAACCUGCCUGUGAUCUGCUAAGAUGCAAAGAUUCAACUCUGGCCCAUUGUCAUCCCAACACCUCAUCUGCCAUCAGUUUCGUUUAGUGUCGGUCUAUUGCAAAAGUUCUUAUAAACUUUAAAUGAGACUUUGUGUUAAGCAGGGGUUUCCAAACUUUUCAUUCCACAACAUAUUAAGCCCAGGAUACACAGCAGGAUUUUUGCAAUCCAAUAAGACCUUAUCACACUGUGUGACAAGGAUUGUUUAAACUUCAGCAGUAGACUGUCGAUGAAGACACCUAUUGCAUCUGAGGCUGCGACAUCCGUCAUCAGCAUGCGCUAGUGGUAAACAAAUACAGGUAUGCAGGUCGUAGCAACAAACACAUUGUUGAUGUGCGUUGAUCAUGCUGAACUUCUUACACUGUCAUAAAACUAUCGUAGGUGUCUUUGGUCCAAGGACUGGGAAAACAGACGUCUUUAAACCUCUCACACUGUAUGAGAUAGGACCACCAAUUAAGAGCCACGAUCACAGAAAUCUCCACGAUUGUUUCACGAUUGGUAAUCUUUCAUCUGGGACAGCCAAAAAUCGUGCCGUGUAUUAUGGGCUUUAGACAGGUGUAAUCUUAUAGUAUAUCAAAACCAUUGCUAAUAAUUAAUUGGACAAACCAUCACUACAAUGCAACACUCACUAUCUUACGGUGCGACCCACAAGUGGGUCUUCACCCACAGUUUAAAAACCCUGAGUAUGAGUAAGAGUAUGUUGUAUUGUAAUUAAAGUCACAUCUAAGUGUUAUGGAACAGUUUGUCAUUAUAUUCACAGUAUUACAUGGUUCUUUCAGCAGUUACUACGUUACAGUGCUCUUAAAGUGUCCUGAUCAGCUUUGGGUCUUGUGAAGUAAUGUAAUGAGAAUGUGAUCAAUAUCUUUGCAGUAUUUUUGUUACACUGUGGCUGUAAUCAUAUUAACACAUAGGUUAAACAUUUUAUUCAAAUUUGGUAAACAAACUAGUCAAUAUAAUUCAUGCUGUGAUGCUGGAUUAAACCUGGUCAAAUGAUUGUGUAUUGUGUUUUCAAUUUUUUAUGAGGUUUCUUCAUCUAUAUAAACAUUCUCAAUAUCA